rnacentral:rRNA from 2 species
UUAAUUUGAGAGUUUGAUCCUGGCUCAGGACGAACGCUGGCGGCGUGCCUAAUACAUGCAAGUCGAACGAACUCUGGUAUUGAUUGGUGCUUGCAUCAUGAUUUACAUUUGAGUGAGUGGCGAACUGGUGAGUAACACGUGGGAAACCUGCCCAGAAGCGGGGGAUAACACCUGGAAACAGAUGCUAAUACCGCAUAACAACUUGGACCGCAUGGUCCGAGUUUGAAAGAUGGCUUCGGCUAUCACUUUUGGAUGGUCCCGCGGCGUAUUAGCUAGAUGGUGAGGCAACGGCUCACCAUGGCAAUGAUACGUAGCCGACCUGAGAGGGUAAUCGGCCACAUUGGGACUGAGACACGGCCCAAACUCCUACGGGAGGCAGCAGUAGGGAAUCUUCCACAAUGGACGAAAGUCUGAUGGAGCAACGCCGCGUGAGUGAAGAAGGGUUUCGGCUCGUAAAACUCUGUUGUUAAAGAAGAACAUAUCUGAGAGUAACUGUUCAGGUAUUGACGGUAUUUAACCAGAAAGCCACGGCUAACUACGUGCCAGCAGCCGCGGUAAUACGUAGGUGGCAAGCGUUGUCCGGAUUUAUUGGGCGUAAAGCGAGCGCAGGCGGUUUUUUAAGUCUGAUGUGAAAGCCUUCGGCUCAACCGAAGAAGUGCAUCGGAAACUGGGAAACUUGAGUGCAGAAGAGGACAGUGGAACUCCAUGUGUAGCGGUGAAAUGCGUAGAUAUAUGGAAGAACACCAGUGGCGAAGGCGGCUGUCUGGUCUGUAACUGACGCUGAGGCUCGAAAGUAUGGGUAGCAAACAGGAUUAGAUACCCUGGUAGUCCAUACCGUAAACGAUGAAUGCUAAGUGUUGGAGGGUUUCCGCCCUUCAGUGCUGCAGCUAACGCAUUAAGCAUUCCGCCUGGGGAGUACGGCCGCAAGGCUGAAACUCAAAGGAAUUGACGGGGGCCCGCACAAGCGGUGGAGCAUGUGGUUUAAUUCGAAGCUACGCGAAGAACCUUACCAGGUCUUGACAUACUAUGCAAAUCUAAGAGAUUAGACGUUCCCUUCGGGGACAUGGAUACAGGUGGUGCAUGGUUGUCGUCAGCUCGUGUCGUGAGAUGUUGGGUUAAGUCCCGCAACGAGCGCAACCCUUAUUAUCAGUUGCCAGCAUUAAGUUGGGCACUCUGGUGAGACUGCCGGUGACAAACCGGAGGAAGGUGGGGAUGACGUCAAAUCAUCAUGCCCCUUAUGACCUGGGCUACACACGUGCUACAAUGGAUGGUACAACGAGUUGCGAACUCGCGAGAGUGAGCUAAUCUCUUAAAGCCAUUCUCAGUUCGGAUUGUAGGCUGCAACUCGCCUACAUGAAGUCGGAAUCGCUAGUAAUCGCGGAUCAGCAUGCCGCGGUGAAUACGUUCCCGGGCCUUGUACACACCGCCCGUCACACCAUGAGAGUUUGUAACACCCAAAGUCGGUGGGGUAACCUUUUAGGAACCAGCCGCCUAAGGUGGGACAGAUGAUUAGGGUGAAGUCGUAACAAGGUAGCCGUAGGAGAACCUGCGGCUGGAUCACCUCCUUUCUAAGGAA